AUGGCACGCCGUCACGGGUCCAGGCAGCAUGCGGGCCCACCGCCUCACAGAGCGUCCUGUGUUGCAGAGCCCAAAACCAGCCCCCAUGUCUUCCCGCUGAGCCUCAAGACCAGUGACCCAGCCGGGCAAGUGGUCAUUGCCUGCCUGGUGCAAGGGUUCUUCCCGCCGGAGCCCGUGACAGUGACUUGGAGCCCCAGCAAGGAAGGCGCGUCCAUCCGGAACUUCCCCGCGGUGAAGUCUGCUUCUGGGAACCUGUACACCACGAGCAGCCAGCUGACCCUGCCGGCUAGCCAGUGCCCCGAUGGCACGUCCCUGCAAUGCCACGUGGAGCACUAUUCCAUCACCAGCCCGGCCGUGUCUGUGCCCUGCAGAGAUGACCCCCCUCCUCAGUGUUCCCCGUGCAAUGAACCCCACCUGUCACUACACAAGCCCGCCCUCGAGGACCUGCUUCUGGGCUCCAAUGCCAGCAUCACGUGCACACUGAGCGGCCUGAAAAACCCCAAGGGUGCCCUGUUUUCCUGGACACCCUCAGGGGGGAAGGAGGCCAUCCAGAAGCCCCCGGAGCGUGACUCCUGUGGCUGCUACAGUGUGUCCAGUGUCCUUCCAGGCUGCGCUGAGCCAUGGAACCGUGGGGAGAACUUCUCCUGCACCGCCACCCAUCCCGAGCUCAAGACGCCAAAAACUGACACCAUCUCCAAAGUCCUAGAGAACACUUUCCGGCCCCAGGUCCACCUGCUGCCGCCGCCGUCGGAAGAGCUGGCCCUCAAUGAGCUGGUGUCGCUGACGUGCCUCGUGCGAGGCUUCAGCCCCGAGGACGUGCUGGUACGAUGGCUGCAAGGAUCCCAGGAGCUGUCCCGGGAGAAGUACCUGACCUGGGGCCCCCUGCAGGAGCCCGACCAGAGCGUCCCCACCUUUGCCACGACCAGCGUGCUGCGAGUGUCGGCCGAGGACUGGAAGCAGGGGGAGAAGUUCUCCUGCAUGGUGGGUCACGAGGCCCUGCCCCUGGCCUUCACCCAGAAGACCAUCGACCGCCUGGCGGACUCUCAGUGUCUUGCAGAUUUCCGGGAGCCACUUCCCUGGCUGGUGCUGGACCUACCGCAGGAGGACCUGGAGGAAGACGCCCCAGGAGCCAGCCUGUGGCCUACCACGGUCACCUUGCUCACCCUCUUCCUACUGAGUCUCUUCUACAGCACAGCGCUGACCGUGACAAGUGUGCGGGGCCCAACCGACAGCAGAGAGGGCCCCCAGUACUGAGCAGAAGCCAGCCAGGCACAUAGGGAGGAGGCUGGAGGAGCUUCUGGGAAGCCCAGCUGGAUGUCAGAGCUCAGUGCUGCUCAGAAACUGCCCGCCCACCCCCACACACAGGCCGUGCUGGCACAAUAAACUGAUCCCAAAGGCAAA